UACGAAGGGGGCUAGCGUUGCUCGGAAUCACUGGGCGUAAAGGGUGCGUAGGCGGGUCUUUAAGUCAGGGGUGAAAUCCUGGAGCUCAACUCCAGAACUGCCUUUGAUACUGAAGAUCUUGAGUUCGGGAGAGGUGAGUGGAACUGCGAGUGUAGAGGUGAAAUUCGUAGAUAUUCGCAAGAACACCAGUGGCGAAGGCGGCUCACUGGCCCGAUACUGACGCUGAGGCACGAAAGUGUGGGGAGCGAACAGG
rnacentral:rRNA from 1 species